GGCCCCAUAGCACAACUAGGCAGAUGCAGCAGGCCUAAACCCUGCGUGGUCCCGGUUCAAAUCCGGGUGGGGUCA
rnacentral:tRNA from 1 species